AUGCAGCCGACGAGUUCCAAAUAGGACAAAACGCGCGUUUUGGAU
rnacentral:hammerhead_ribozyme from 1 species